rnacentral:rRNA from 1 species
UACGGGAGGGGUGCAAGCGUUUGUCCCGGGAUUUAUUUGGGGGUUUUUUUUUUAAAAGGGGGUGCGUUAGGGCGGGCUUUUUUUUUUAAGUUCAGUUGGGUUGAAAAUCCCCAGCAGCUUUAAACUGUUUGAAAUUUGCCCCAUUUGAUUACUUGGGAGAGCUUUGAGUUUACAGACGAGGUUAGGGGCGGGAAAUUUAUUGGGGUUGUUAGCGGGUUGAAAUGCAUUAGAUUACCCAUUAAAAGAAACACCCCGAUUUGCGAAAGGGGGCAG